rnacentral:lncRNA from 1 species
CUCAAAACCAAAAUGCUCAAAGAUAAUGGGGUGUGUAUAUAUAGACAUAUAUUUAAAUUUAUAAGUUGUUGUGAAGAUACUGUUUGUUUAUAGAAGCUUACUUUGAAAACUAAGCUUGGUUUCUGAGUUAACCUGACCAGUUGUCAAUGAAAAAAAAUAGAAGUAGAUUAAUUUCAGUUAUGAUUAAUGGUAUGUUAAAAAGAAUGAAGAAAAACAACCCCAAACUUUGCUCUAAUAUGUUACACUAUUUGGAUCUUGAAAAGACUGGAAUUUUCCAGGCCUAGUUCUCUUAAGACGUCAAUUUUUAAAAGUAAAUCUCUUCUCUUUUGAAGCCUAUUCUUCUUACCUUGUGCCUCGUUUAAGUUCCCCUAGCUCUAAUAGCAUCAUUUUCAUUUUCUGCCUCUUUAUUCUCCAAGUGGUGUGCUGCUUCACUGUGUACACUUAGUGCCUAUACAGAUAUAUUUUUAUUUCUGCCCUGACAGUGACUCACUGGAAAAAAGAGAACUCAUUUUCAAGAUGAAAUGAAAAAAUGCCAUUACUGUGCUAAAUCAAAGAAAUUGUUAUUUUUGCUCUUUCUAAUGUGAAGCAAAAGCUGGACAAAUGCAAUUUUCAAAAGGAGAUCCUGCUCUCCAUUAUGAGUAUUCCUGGAAUCAGUAGCUACUGGUAACACAUGCAAUGUUUAUUUCAUAAUCUUUGCUCAUUUUCGGAGACGUUCUGGGGGGAAUGUUGCUUUUCUAUAAGACUGAGCAGAGACACUCAAACAGCCUUAUCAUACCGCCUAAUAACUUCUUAUCACUGGGGCCUCCUGAUGCUUUUGAACUUCCUUGCUUCUGAUAGUGCUGCUCAUUGAAGCUCGAUCUCUUAUUUAAAAAUGAAUAUAUCAAGGAUGAAUGAAGACAUUCCACUUGAAGGGACAUUGACUUGAUACUUUCUAAACACAGAAUUAAUGGAAAAACCUAAAGAUGACACAACAUGUUUGUCUGUAUCUCUUUCAGGUGAUACUUUUGGGUUCAGUAAAGCUGCAGAUCAUUACUUUAUGUAGUUUUACAAUCCAUUUCUUUGGGAUUGGCAAACAGCUGAAUGCUGCACUUCUACCCAUUAACUCUAGAAUUGCUAAAUUAUUUGUUAUGGUGUGCCAGUAUCCAGACAUAUAUCUGAACUAGAUUAAGCCCGAAUCCCUGAUCCUGUAAUUCCAGUGGUUUCUCCUUUGCAGUUCAGUAUUUGUCAGUGUUGGAAUCUGGUAUUGCAAAUUGAAGACUCACGAUUCAGUAAAUAAGGUUACUGAUUUGAAACACUUACAGGGUGGAAAGCAUUUCAAAGUACAUGUCUUAGUUUCACCUCAAAGUUCAAAGCAAAAAAGAACAGAUUGUAUGCAUAUACUUAUUUUAUGAUUAUUUUUUAAACCAUAUGAUCUAAAUUUUAGGAUUUUUUUUUCCAGGUUCUAUGGCCAGUGUGAAAAAAAAAAAAAAAACAAAACAAAAAACAGAGAGAAAAUAAAAUUUUCCUCCUAUCUCUGUUCCACUCUCAUUUUAAUACAUCUUCAGACUAAAGCAGUGACAUCUCAUUUUCGACUGAAGACGUUUGGAAAUGGAUCUCCUAAAAAGAUGUCAGCAAACAGGCAAAUAAACACAGAAUGCAUAUCUAAGCUACUGGAUGUUUACAAAAGGUACUGCAGAAGGGAAAAUGUACCAGAUGAAAUGGAAAUUAUUUCAUGAAUCACCUCACGAUUUCACAGAAAUAAGGGAAGUAUUAUUACUGAUUAUUCUCCAUAAAACAAGUUUAAAAACAUACCAUCGUCUAAAAAGGAAAAGUGAAAGGUUUCUAAAUUGGAUAUUUCAAUAUUGCUAAUGAGAACGAAGUGAGCUGAUGAAUGUUGAAUCAUUCCUUGACAGUUUUUAAACAAAUAUUAUCAUUCAUUCUCUUUCCUGCAUCGACAGAUGAUGUUUCUUGUUCAAAUGAGGCUUCCUGACUUUUGAUAAAGGCUGCUGAAAAUAGCACUCCCCUUCCCAAGCUGUAUAUUCACCUCUAGCAUAUACUGACAUACUGACAGGGAAUGAAAAUUUGGGAUGCUCUGCAGUGUUCUGCCCUUUCAUGAAGGGUUUGUCUUGUGUGUGAAGUAUGAUGUACACCAUGGUAUCACUAUAUCACAUUACCCGGUGAUGAAUUUAGAAGCUGCCACUGCUGUCUAAUUCAGCAAUCCAUUUUGAAAUUGAGUAGCCUCUUCUCUCCCUUAAAAGUAGGGCAUCAUUAAAUUAAAGUAACCUAUUGUGUGCAGCAGACUAGGCAAGAAGUGGGUGAUGUUCUCCUGCCUUCAGCUGUCUGUCCCUGCCUGCUGGCUGCUUUCAAAUGGAGGAGACAAGUCUGAUGGGCUGCUUAAACUCGUUCCUUCACUUCCCUCCAUUCUUAGCCUCCACAGAGGGCAGACUUGGGACUGUAAAGAACAGCUGCUUACCUCACUGAUGCUUUAUAUACUGAUUUAAGUGUGUAUAUGCUCACUUUUAUAUCUUGUUUAUUCAUUACUGUGGAAGGCUAUAGGAAGUUGGAGGUGAGGAGAUGCUUUCCUGCAGGGGGAAAGUUGCAAGGUACAAGACUGAAAAUGGAUUUUGGAUUUGUGGAGCAGGCUGUGUGUAAGCAAAUGCACUUGGAUUCCGUGCUGGCUUUCUCCCGUUACACAGUUUUUGCAUUGUUCUUGAUCAAAAUGGAUGGAAAAUACUGAGGGUGUUCACUUGGUUUUGCUAUAAUUGCUAUAAACAUUCUAAAUAGUGCUUUGGUUAAUAGUCAGAAGGACAAAUGGGAAGGAAGCCAUCAGGUGGGUAGUCAGGUAGAGACACUUUGUUUGCGUUUACUGUAAGAGCACAUUGGAAAUAUUGUUAAUUUAACAUCAACCAUCUAAAGAUAGCACCAAUUCUAAUUUCAUCAGCAGGUGAGUGUGAAAAAUCGGCCAAUGUUUUCAAUGUAGAAGUGGAAAAAUAAAAAAAUAGAAAGCCAGUUAUGUAUUAAUUGUGAUAGAGCACUAUCUGAAUUUGAAGAGCUAGAAAUUCUGCCCAUUUCAUCGAGACUUGACCUAACAUUUCCCACUGCGAGUAGAAAAUAUUGAUAUAAUGCAUAGGAAUCAUUCUGUUUGUGGUGGGUUUUUGUGGUUGUUUGUCCUUUUCUUUCUUUCUUUUUUUUUACUAGCCGUUGCCCAUAUGGCCAGUUAAUUAUCCUUCUGCAGGCAGAAUUAUUUUAUUUAAUGAAUUUUUAAAUGUCAGUGACGUGAAAAACCAUUACUGUGGUUGUAAGUCCAUUACUCACCUUCAGCUUCUAUUUCCCAUCACCCCCCACUUUAGCUUUAAGGAGCAUCUGAAGUGACAGAGCUUUGAUUUCAGUUGAGAGUGCUGAGCACAGAAGUCUUACAAGUAAUACAUUAUUAAAAAAUCGUAGCAAGAAAAUUAAUUUCUACUAUCGUAUGCCAUGCUGGGUAUAUCACUUCUAACAAAUGACCUUUUUUUUUCAUAUAUUCAUUGGUAGAUUUACCAGGACAAAAUAAUUACUUUGUUUUCCACCUCUAAGAAAAAAAAAAAAGUCUUUUUCUUGUGCGUGUGUGGUUUUCUUGUUUUGUUUUUAAUUGAAAUAAGUACACAAAAUGGGUUCUAUAAGAUAAAAAGAAAAAGGAAAGAAAAAAGAAGGAACUGGAAAACCACACAGAAAUGAGGCACUGGCUCCCUGUCAUGUUGUCUGGUCAGUAAUAUUUCUUACUGUGAAAUUCCUGCAUGUUCGCAUGUUCAUGUUUAAAUCCUCCCAGAGAGAUUUUGCAUUGGAUCCUAGUUGAACUCAAGAAGGUAGAUGGUUAUGCGGUUUCUCAUAUUUCUUGCUUUUGAGAGGAACGUCUGUUUAUCCAGAGAGCCUUAUCUGGGCUUGGCGACGAGCACAUUCCGCAGCCAGAAGAAGGACCAGACAGGUAUUUGUCUCCUUUAUAGAAACAACUUCCUUGAGAGCUCCUGUAUAAACAUAGUUUCUAGCUGAGUGGAAUAGCAAAGAGGACAAGAGAUCAGCAGGCUGCUGAUUAAUGAGCUGUUGAGCGGUGUUGGAUGUUGUGAGUCUGCUGCACAUCUCUUCUUGAAAUGUAACAUAACGAGGUCGGCAGUGAUCAGCACACCCCUCACACUUCAUUAUUUGAUCUCUAAACUGUCAGCAGUACAGGCGGUAAACUACAAAUUGCAAGCAUUGCUUUGUGAUGUGCUUGGACACAUUUUUCAGCACUGCAGGAAAAAAAAAAAUAAUAAAAAUAGCACAGCCACUGAGUUACAAACAAAUAUAUUUUCUUUUUCUUAAUGGAGCUUGGAGCAAGGUCAGUAUACGUAGGUACACACUGAGAUCAUACAGAAAAGCUGAAGUCAAUACGUUCAGUAUAAGCUAAAGCUGGCUAGAACAUAAAUAUGGCAUUUGAUUAUAGAAAAGAAAUGCCAUACAAGUCAAUAUAGCAUUGAUCAAACUUACGGUUUCCAGCUCAGACAAUUCCGAAACAGUGUAUCAGACAGAUAAUUGUAUAAUCAUAAGGCUGAAAGCAGUGAGCCCACUCAUUGUCCGUGCUGGCUGCCUUUUGCCACAUGGGAGAUCCUCACAGCAAUUUUAGAAUACAGGCGUUAGAUCAGCAUCACUCAAGGAGAUGAGAGCAGACAUCUAUUGCUUUCUUAAACAGCUGAUUUAUUCUGCAUCCAUCAUAGGCUCUCUACAGCAGUUUAGCUUGAAAUUUAAAUCAAAAGGGGUCAGCUACUUAUUUUGCAUACAGAUGUAGUACUGACACAGGUUGUCUAGACAGAGGAAGCAAGGAAGAGAUUUGGUAGCAGUUAAAUACUUAAACCUAAGUGUUUGCAUAAGAAGAGUCUCAAGUGGUAUACACUGGUUGCAAAUGACUGAGUGUGAAGGGAUAUAAUAUAGUACAUUUCUUAGGAUGAGAAUAUAGAGAGAAAAUUAUUAACUGUCUUAGCAAGCUAGUAUCUGUGUCAUAUUUCCAGGCUGUGCCUAGAAACCCAUGGAAAUAGAUUGUCUGUAUGUUUUACAGGAAAUUGACCCAAAAAAAGGAAUUAAUAAAGCAACAAGUCAGUAAGUAGAUUCUAGACUGAGCUCAGAAAAUGCCAUUAGAGCAGUCUAAUUAUUUUCAUAUCUUAAAACAUAGAAUUUACAAGAAAUAAUUUUACUUUGGCUAACAGAUACUUUUGAGAAUUAUUGUUCGUGGU